rnacentral:rRNA from 1 species
UACGUAGGGGGCUAGCGUUGUCCGGAUUUAUUGGGCGUAAAGAGCGCGUAGGCGGCCAGGUAGGUCUGCUGUGAAAACUCGAGGCUCAACCUCGAGACGUCGGCGGAAACCAUCUGGCUAGAGUCCGGAAGAGGAGAGUGGAAUUCCUGGUGUAGCGGUGAAAUGCGCAGAUAUCAGGAAGAACACCCGUGGCGAAGGCGGCUCUCUGGGACGGUACUGACGCUGAGACGCGAAAGCGUGGGGAGCGAACAGG